GUGUCAGCAGCCGCGGUAAAACGUAGGGGACAAGCGUUAUCCGGAUUUACUGGGCGUAAAGAGCCCGUAGGCGGCUUUUUAAGUUGGACGUGAAAGCUCCCGGCUUAACUGGGAGAGGCCGUUCAAAACUGAAAAGCUGGAGUGAGGAAGAGGAGAGCGGAAUUCCCGGUGUAGUGGUGGAAUGCGUAGAUAUCGGGAGGAACACCAGUGGCGAAAGCGGCUCUCUGGUCCUAAACUGACGCUGAGGGGCGAAAGCGUGGGGAGCGAACGGGAUUAGAUACCCUCGUAGUCC
rnacentral:rRNA from 1 species